AACGCACCUUGCACCCUUUGGUAUUCCGAGGGGUACACCCGUUUGAGUGUCAUUGUAAUCUCACUCCGACGACUUUAUUGUUGUCUGGAGGUGGACUUGGACUCUGCCGUGUCACAAUGGCUGGUCUGAAAUGCAUGAGUGCACCCUGCUGUAGCAGCGUCUUCAGUGUGAUAAGUAUCUUCACUGAUUCAAGCUCCCUUCUGUGGGACACGCUCGUCUGGUGGGCUCUGUGCUUCCAACCGUCCUGUGGACAACUCUUGACAAUUUGACCUCAAAUCGGGUGGGAUUACCCGCUGAACUUAA
rnacentral:misc_RNA from 1 species